AUGAUCAAGGCAGGGAUUGUGAAACCUAGUAUAAGCCCGUAUGCAUCACCAGUACUUCUGGUUAAGAAAAAAGACGGCAGCUGGCGUUUUUGCGUGGAUUACCGCAAACUCAACGCCAUCACUGUGAAGAACAAAUUCCCUCUGCCCAUGGUCGACGAAUUACUCGAUGAACUGGCAGGAUCAAAAUUUUUCUCCAAGCUGGACCUCAGGGCAGGUUAUCACCAAAUCCGUAUGCAUGAACCAGAUGAGGAGAAGACUGCAUUCAAGACACAUUCAGGACACUUUCAAUUUCGUGUUAUGCCAUUUGGGGUGACCAAUGGACCACCAACAUUUCAGUGCUUAAUGAAUAGCAUCUUUGCCCCAACUAAUCGCAAGUAUGUCAUCACAUUUUUGGACGACAUUCUAGUUUUCAGUACCACUUGGGAGGAACAUCUGGAGCAUCUUCGCUCGGUACUACAGACCUUGCGCGAGCAUCAGUUGUUUGUGAAGCUUUCCAAAUGCUCUUUUGCUCAGAAUGAAAUCCAAUAUUUGGGUCAUGUGAUUUCUUCUGAAGGUGUGGCUACAGACCCAGAGAAGACUAUGGCGAUGGAACAUUGGCCUCAACCUACCAACGCUACUGAAUUGCGUGGGUUCCUUGGGUUGACUGGGUACUACCGCAAAUUUGUCCGAAAUUAUGCUAGUAUGGCCAAGCCUUUGACUCAAUUGCUGACCAAGAAAGGUUUUGUUUGGACAGAGCAAGCAACUGUAGCUUUUCAAACAUUGAAAACAGCUAUGACUAGUACCCCUGUAUUGGCUCUACCGGAUUUCAGUCAACCUUUUACAGUCGAGACUGAUGCUUCUGCCACAGGAAUUGGAGCCAUACUCUCACAGAAUAACCAUCCUAUUGCUUAUCUAAGCAGGGCUUUGGGUGUGGCCAAUCAAAAGUUGUCUGUCUAUGAGAAAGAAUUCUUGGCUGUCAUUAUGGCCAUUGAUAAGUGGCGCCCGUACCUUCAGAGGGGUCCCUUCACUAUCAUUACAGACCACCGAAGCCUAUGUCAUUUACAGGAUCAACAACUCAUUACUGAUCUUCAGCGCAAGGCCAUGGCUAAGAUGGCGGGCCUUCAAUUUCAGUUUAAAUACCGCAAAGGCUCGGAGAACAACGCCGCAGAUGCAUUAUCUCGUGUGGGUCAUUUGUACACAAUCACAGCAGUCUCGACUUGCCAACCAAUGUGGAUGCAGGAGGUUAUGAAUUCCUAUCAAACUGAUCAAUCAGCUCUGGAUCGAUUAGCUCCUCUGGCAGUUCAUAGUCCGGAUGAACACGGUUAUUCACUUGAUCAAGGACUGAUUAAAUAUCAAGGACGUCUGUGGAUUGGUAAUAAUUCUGCGCUGCAAACAAAACUAAUCAGUGCUCUGCAUUCAAGCGCUGUCGGGGGUCAUUCAGGCGUCAGGGCCACUUAUUACCGUGUGUCCAAAUUAUUCCGAUGGUCUGGCAUGAAACAACAAGUUUAUGACUGGGUGAAGCAGUGUCAAGUUUGUCAGCAAGCAAAACACGAGCGAACACAUCCAGGUGGGUUGCUGCAGCCUUUGCCAGUGCCUACGCGCCCUUGGAAGGACAUUACCAUGGAUUUCAUAGAUGGGCUUCCGAAAUCAGAAGGAUUUGAAGUAAUCCUAGUGGUGGUCGAUUGA
rnacentral:rRNA from 1 species